CCAGGUAAGUUGACUGAGAACACGUUCUCAUUUGCAGCAACGACCUGGGGAAUAGUUACAGGGGAGAGGAGGGGGAUGAAUGAGCCAAUUGUAAGCUGGGGAUGAUUAGGUGGCCAUGAUGGUUUGAGGGCCAGAUUGGGAAUUUAGCCAGGACACCGGGGUUAACACCCCUACUCUUACGAUAAGUGCCAUGGGAUCUUUAAUGACCUCAGAGAGUCAGGACACCCGUUUAACGUCCCAUCCGAAAGACGUCACCCUACACAGGGCAGUGUCCCCAAUUACUGCCCUGGGGCAUUGGGAUAUUUUUUAGACCAGAGGAAAGAGUGCCUCCUACUGGCCCUCCAACACCACUUCCAGCAGCAUCUGGUCUCCCAUCCAGGGACUGACCAGGACCAACCCUGCUUAGCUUCAGAAGCAAGCCGGCAGUGGUAUGCAGGGUGGUAUGCUGCUAAACCUAUCACGCUCAAGACACGUUAAAAGCUUUAGCCAAUGGGUUAAUAGUUAUGCUGAAACAACACUGUGUGUCAUUUCAGACAAGCUGAUGCAAUGACUCUUCAAAUGCAAAAAGGCCUGAACAGGUUGGCUUUCUGAAUGGACACAUCCCCAGAGCAGGGAAACAGAGCACACCUAACCAGAUUGAGAGGAUGAUGUCACAGGGGGUAUUUGGAAGCCCAGUAGAGUCUCUGUAGAUGGAGACAUUUCCCUGAUAUGUAGACCCCAUAGCACCAGGCCCUGGAACCUGCCUUAACUAACACCUGUACCCUGUCAUAACACCUUGCCAUGCCACAACCGGGAAAAUUAAGUGUCAUCAAGGACAGACACUCUGAAGAGUUUUGUGAAUACUGCAUUAUUGUUCCAGAAGCUAUGGCUAAAUAAUUAUACAUGAUUUACUGGACAUGUGUAGGCUAUGCCUUAUCUCAAAUAUAUAUUUUUUUAAAGACAACUUUGUUAAGGCAGGGUAACAAUUCCUGUGAAGGCAUUCAUUAUAAAAGUGUAUUGCAACAGACAGCCUCUUGCCAGACAAAUUCCUUCACAAGCAUCACUGGAAGAAAUACUGUUAUUAAACCACAGCCUGUGACCAUUUA